GAUUCUGGUAGCACUUUUAUGCGGUGUCACUCCAAACGGUUUAAGCAUACGCCUGGGGUGUGCGGUCGCAAGAUGAGAACCCAAUGGAUUUGACGUGGGCCCGCACAAGCGGUGGAGCAUGUGGUUUAAUUCGAAGCGACGCGCAGAACCUUACCAACCCUUGACAUGGAUAUCGAGACUUCUGGAGCCAGAUUUCUUCAGUUCGGCUGGAUAUCACACAGGUGCUGCAUGGCUGUCGUCAGCUCGUGUCGUGAGAUGUUCGGUUAAGUCCGGCAACGAGCGCAACCCACGUCUUUAGUUGCCAGCAUUUAGUUGGGUGCCCUAGAGAGACCGCCGGUGAUAAGCCGGAGGAAGGUGUGGAUGACGUCAAGUCCUCAUGGCCCUUACGGGUUGGGCUACACACGUGAUACAAUGGUAGUGACAAUGGGUUAAUCCCAAAAAACUAUCUCAGUUCGGAUUGGGGUCUGCAACUCGACCCCAUGAAGUUGGAAUCGCUAGUAAUCGCGUAACAGCAUGACGCGGUGAAUACGUUCCCGGGCCUUGUACACACCGCCCGUCACACCAUGGGAAUUGGAUCUACCCGAAGGUGGUGCGCCAACCUACUUGUAGGAGGCAGCCAACCACGGUAGGUUCAGUGACUGGGGUGAAGUCGUAACAAGGUAAC
rnacentral:rRNA from 1 species